GAUGAACGCGUAGCGGGAGGCUUAACACAUGCAAGUCGAGGGGCAGCAUAGGGUAGCAAUACUCUGAUGGCGACCGGCAAACGGGUGAGUAACGCGUAUGCAACCUACCCUGUACAGGGGGAUAACCCGGAGAAAUUCGGACUAAUAUCCCGUAAUAAUAUCCGGAGGCAUCUUUGGAUAUUUAAAGUUCCGACGGUACGGGAUGGGCAUGCGUAACAUUAACUGGUUGGUAAGGUAACGGCUUACCAAGGCUAUGAUGUUUAGGGGUCCUGAGAGGGUGGUCCCCCACACUGGUACUGAGACACGGACCAGACUCCUACGGGAGGCAGCAGUGAGGAAUAUUGGUCAAUGGACGAGAGUCUGAACCAGCCAAGUCGCGUGAAGGAAGACGGUUCUAUGAAUUGUAAACUUCUUUUGUGCAGGAAUAAAGUGGGUUACGUGUAACCUUUUGUAUGUACUGUACGAAUAAGGAUCGGCUAACUCCGUG
rnacentral:rRNA from 1 species